rnacentral:rRNA from 1 species
UAAGGAAUAUUGGUCAAUGGACGAAAGUCUGAACCAGCCAUGCCGCGUGGAGGAUGAAGGCCCUCUGGGUUGUAAACAUCUUUUAUAGGGGACGAAAAAGGGUCUUUCUAGAUCAACUGACGGUACCCUAGGAAUAAGCACCGGCUAACUACGUGCCAGCAGCCGCGGUCAUACGGAGGGUGCAAGCGUUGUCCGGAAUUACUGGGUGUAAAGAGUGCGUAGGUGGGUUGGUAAGUCGGUGGUGAAAUCUUCGAGCUUAACUCGGAGACUGCCAUUGAUACUAGUAGUCUUGAAUACUGUGGAGGAGAGCGGAAUAUGUCAUGUAGCGGUGAAAUGCUUAGAUAUGACGUAGAACACCAAUGGCGAAGGCGGCUGGCUGCGCAGAUAUUGACGCUGAGGAACGAAAGCGUGGGGAGCAAACA